rnacentral:rRNA from 1 species
ACGCUCGACACCUACGGGAGGCAGCAGGUGGGGAAUAUUGCACAAUGGGGGAAACCCUGAUGCAGCAACGCCGCGUGAAGGAAGACGGUUUUCGGAUUGUAAACUUCUGUUCUUAGUGAAGAUAGUGACGGUAGCUAAGGAGCAAGCCACGGCUAACUACGUGCUAGCAGCCGCGGUAAUCUGAGCGGGCUGGCAAGGC